GCAGCUGGGGACCCGCAGCUACUACAAGAGAAGGAAGCAAGGGACAGAUGCUUGGGCCGGCUGGAGAGCACAGGCCCUUCUAAGAAGCAGCCACGACUCAGCCCCAACCAAUUCCUGCCAUUCUUCACAUUUUUCAAAGAGAAACCAGAAAAGAAAAACAAAACAAAACCCAAAACCCCCAGCUAUUUAUCUGAAGCUGCUCUAUUCUAGUUUGGCUUCCAACUGAAGGUUUCACAAACACGGAGGAGGCCAAACACAACAGGGCCACAGAACAGCUGAGGCUUGCUGGAUACGAGCCUGCAAUCCAAUUUGCUUCUGAGGUGCAGAAGGAAAGAGGCAGGCUGGCUUGGGAGAAGGCUGUCAUGGGCAGUUCCUCGGGGGCCCUUCCAAGUCCACAAAAGCAGCGACUCUGAAUCACGGGCAGAGCUGCCUCAGUGCUGUGCUGUGACCCGGUCACACUCAGAAGCGCACGCCGCAGAGACAAGGUCUGGAGAAGCAGCAAGCUGCCAUCAUCACCUCCUAUUAUCCAUUUAAACCAGCUUCUGAAGUAACGGGAUCACCUAAGGAAUAACUUCCCAAGACUCACUCACUUUGGUGCCAAGUAAAAAAAACCUAAAGGGAAAAAAACUCCUGGACCCUGACUUCUGAACCCUGACCUGCUGACAAGCUCCAGCUCACUCACCACAAAAGGAAAGGAAGAGUCCAAGCAUAAACACUGUCCUGGCAAGAACUUCAGCCACCAAAUGGAACAGCUGUGUCACAAUAAACAAGGAGAAAUAAACAGAGUAGAUAGGUAGGAAGGAGUGACCGGAGCCACUCAGUCCGGAAUUAGUAGGCAACAUGGCACAGAGACAAAGAACUCUGGUACUGGCCCCAGACAGGACUAGGUUUGAAUUCUAGCUCCUUCACUUAAUAGCUGUGUGACGGGCACUGACAGACAUGGCCAGCAAGUCACCAGUUGAGUGCCUGUAAGAUGCUCGCUGAUACCUGAGACUCUGCCAGCUGACCUACUCCAAGUUGACAACGCCCACCCCGUUCAGUAACCUGGGACCUUUGUUUAAGUGCCCUGGAAGAGAGGGUGAGGUCCCAGAUAUCUCCAGUGGGGUGAUGGCUCAAGGGAAAGCCCUUUCCCAUGCCUGAUCCAGGGGGCUCCAGAUAGAACACACUGCUCCAACUCCAGACAGAUCCCCAGACCUAGCCCCUCAACUCCCUGACAGAGUAGGGCUCGGAUAGGACCUAUGAAGCUGUAUGGUGAACAACUCUCUCCAGUGAUGCUGAUAUAGCUGGUCUGCAGAACAGUACUUGGAAACCACUCUAGAGAAGAAUCCAAAUGGAUCUUCACAGGCACAUCUGUGGUAACAACAGUCUAAGAAUUCCCAUCCCAGGGAACCAGAGAACAAAGGCUCUGUGUGCUCCGGUGAUAAGCCUGUUGGAGUAGAGUACUGCUGGGGUAGGGCUCUGUCCUACUAGAGGGCUGACAUCUCACUGUAUCAUUCAGACUCUGAGUUCAGUGAGCUAGAUCACCCCACAAGAUGGUUCUGGGGCCAUGUCUAGACAUUUCUGGUGUACAAUAAAUAUUAAUUCUUAUUAGUGCUGACUGGCAUGCUAGGAACAUGGAACCAAGCAUUUGAGAAGGAGAAAGACCAACUCUAUCAGUGCCCUUCUUCUCAAACAGAACCACAAUUUUAAAAUGGGAGCUGAGAAUACAAAGGUGAAUAAUAAACAGUCGCUGCCCUCAAGGAGCUUAAGCCCUGAAACAAGAAAUCUGAAACACUAGAAAUGAAGGUAUAUCCCUUAAUGAAAAGUCUAAUACUGGAAUGCCACAAUAACUGAGAAUCCAUAAACUAGAACCAAGAGGUGAGGCAGAAUCUUUGCUGAAAUGAAUUUCCUCCUGCAUCCUGAAGCCCUCUUUCAUCUGAGUGAGUGGAUUCUGCAGUCAUGGUUUUGUACACUGUCACCUACUGUAAUGAACUGAAGUUUUCAUUCAAGUGUGGAUAACAUGAAGGCUGGCAAUGAACUUUUAGGAUCACCCUUCUAGUUACCACAGCAACACCCUUUGUCACUGGCAGUCCUCAAGGUCCAAGGAACAACUUUGCAAGGGAAAGAUUUCUGAAAUCUUGAAAGCUAUUUUUCAAUUGAAAUAGUGCCCCUAGGAGCAGAAAUCUGCAGAAAUGCAUAUCUGAUGAAUUACUGAGGGAAAGCUGUGAGAGGAGGAAAGAACGCAGAGGUGACAGAGUAAAGGAAGCACAGGAGGAGAAAUUCUCGUUAGUUCCUCACCUUUUACAAUUCUCUGUUGGGAAGUGCUUUAUAUUUUACAAAGAAGACUGACUUUCUACACGCUGGGAAAGUACUUGACCAAUGAUGAAAAAUGCUUUGGUUGAAAGACAUAGCUCUACUAACAUAAUAAACAAAACGUCUAUGCCUUGUGUUGAUGGAGCUGAAAGUUUUCAUAAUAA